rnacentral:rRNA from 1 species
CCUACGGGUGGCAGCAGUGGGGAAUAUUGGACAAUGGGCGAAAGCCUGAUCCAGCCAUGCCGCGUGUGUGAAGAAGGCCUUCGGGUUGUAAAGCACUUUCAGUGGGGAAGAAAGCCUUGGGGCUAAUACCCUCGAGGAAGGACAUCACCCACAGAAGAAGCACCGGCUAACUCCGUGCCAGCAGCCGCGGUAAUACGGAGGGUGCGAGCGUUAAUCGGAAUUACUGGGCGUAAAGCGCGCGUAGGCGGUCUGAUAAGCCGGUUGUGAAAGCCCCGGGCUCAACCUGGGAACGGCAUCCGGAACUGGCAGGCUAGAGUGCAGGCGAGGAAGGUAGAAUUCCCUGUGUAGCAGUGAAAUGCGUAGAGAUCGGGAGGAAUACCAGUGGCGAAGGCGGCCUUCUGGACUGACACUGACGCUGAGGUGCGAAAGCGUGGGUAGCAAACAGGAUUAGAUACCCCAGUAGUC